CUCCUUUCCACGGCCACAUUGAGGGUCUUGAUCAAUGGAGUGAUGGGUGACCCGCUGAAGCAUGGCUGUGGGCUGCGACAGGGAGACCCCCUGUCUCCCCUUUUGUUCGUCCUGGUGAUUGACCCUCUACACCACCUUCUAAACAAGGCCACUGCUCAGGGACACCUCCAGCCGCUUUGUGGAAGAGCCACG
rnacentral:rRNA from 1 species